ACGUGAAUUCCACCUUAGCGUUUAAUAUACGUUCUUCCAACACCCCUUUCAAAUUUGUUGCCGCUUCAAUGUCAGAAAGUAGCUUAUAGGCAAUUGAUUUGCCCUUAUCUUUUUUCUUCGUUGUUUUUUCUCCCAAUGAUGAUGAGGUAUCCUUUACAAGCAAUUCUUGUGAAGCUGCCUCCCGAGCCUUGUCUCCUCGAGUUUGCCUCUUAAAAGAAUUUCCUUCUCUAGUAUCAUCAAAAUUUCCUUGUCUCUUUUCUUCCAUCAAAGCUUUAUGUUGUCUCUUAGCAAUAUAUGCAUGAACUGAAAGAGACUCAACAGGAUCCUCCCAACCUGUUCUACCUCGUAUUG
rnacentral:lncRNA from 1 species